rnacentral:tRNA from 1 species
GGGGGUAUAGUAAAGUGGUAUUACGCAGCAUUCGCAUUGCUGAGGCUCGGGUUCGAUUCCCGAUACCUCCACCA